UACGAGGGGUGCAAGCGUUGCUCGGAAUUAUUGGGCGUAAAGGGUAGGUAGGUGGUCUCAUUUGUCUGGGGUGAAAGCCUUGAGCUUAACUCGAGAAGUGCCUCAGAAACGGUGAGACUAGAGUUCUGGAGAGGGUCGUGGAAUUCCCGGUGUAGCGGUGAAAUGCGCAGAUAUCGGGAGGAACACCAGUAGCGAAGGCGGCACUCUGGGCCGGUACUGACGCUGAGGAGCGAAAGCGUGGGGAGCAAACAGG
rnacentral:rRNA from 1 species